UACGGAGGGGGCUAGCGUUGUUCGGAAUUACUGGGCGUAAAGCGCACGUAGGCGGCUUUGUAAGUUAGAGGUGAAAGCCCGGGGCUCAACUCCGGAAUUGCCUUUAAGACUGCAUCGCUAGAAUUGUGGAGAGGUAAGUGGAAUUCCGAGUGUAGAGGUGAAAUUCGUAGAUAUUCGGAAGAACACCAGUGGCGAAGGCGGUUCACUGGACCGUUGUUGACGCUGAGGUGCGAAAGCGUGGGGAGCAAACAGG
rnacentral:rRNA from 1 species